rnacentral:ncRNA from 1 species
AAUAGGCUUGGUCCUGGCCUUUCUAUUAGCUCUUAGCAGGAUUACACAUGCAAGCAUCCCCGCCCCAGUGAAGACGCCCUACAAAUCAUCAUGACCAAGAGGAGCAAGCAUCAAGCACGCACACGCAGCUCAAAACGCUUUGCCUAGCCACACCCCCACGGGAGACAGCAGUGACAAAUAUUUAGCAAUAAACGAAAGUUCAACUAAGCCAUGCUAUAUUUAGGGUUGGUCAAUUUCGUGCCAGCCACCGCGGUUACACGAUUAACCCCAGCUAAUAGGGAUCGGCGUAGAGGGUGUUUAAGAUCUAACAUAAUAAAGCUAAACUCCACCUAAACUGUAAAACCCUAGCUAAUGUAAAAUAAACUACGAAAGUGGCUUUAAAGCUUCUGAACACACAAUAGCCAAGACCCAAACUGGGAUUAGACACCCCACUAUGCUUGGCCCUAAACCUCAGUAAUUAGAUAACAAAACUACUCGCCAGAAUACUACAAGCAACAGCUUGAAACUCAAAGGACUUGACGGUGCUUUACAUCCCCCUAGAGGAGCCUGUUCCGUAAUCGAUAAACCCCGAUCCACCCUACCCUCUCUUGCUCAGCCUAUAUACCGCCAUCUUCAGCAAACCCCAAUGAAGGCCACAAAGUGAGCGCAAACGCCACCGCCGCGAAUACGUUAGGUCAAGGUGUAGCCCAUGAGACGGUAAAAAAUGGGCUACAUUUUCUAUUUCAGAAAACCCACGAAAACCCUUAUGAAACUUAAGGGUCCAAGGAGGAUUUAGCAGUAAAUUAAGAAUAGAGUGCUUAAUUGAACCAGGCCAUAAAGCGCGCACACACCGCCCGUCACUCCUCUCAAAUAUAUUUAAGGAAUAUCCUAACUAAACGCCCUAAUAUUUAUAUAGAGAGGAUAAGUCGUAACAUGGUAAGCGUACUGGAAGGUGCGCUUGGAUAAAU